ACAGGAAGUUGCAUUGUGCGCGGAUUCAAGGUUACAUUUACGGCAAAUAUGUCCGAUUUAAACACAAAACAAAGACUAAAUUAAAGGUUUUAGCACUCCCUCGUCAAGAACCACAACAAUAUGGUACUCCGACAGUGAAAGCGACAUGGAGCAGCCCCGAAAACUCUAAAGGAAAGAAAAGACGCCCAACCGCACUGCCCGCUGCCCCAAACAUUAUUGCUCCACCUUCCCCUGUCCGCACCUUCAAGUCCUAUGGGAGAGACUCCAACCAACAGAUCAGUCUGCUUUCAUUCAUCUAUUUUUUAGCAAUCCUUUGUGAAAUCCUGACACAGCUAGAAAUCAUCAAGGAGCAGCAAAGUCCUACUUCUCCAGCUACAGAACUCGACCAGCGCAGCAGAACUAUCCAAUGUGUCAGGAUGUC